rnacentral:lncRNA from 1 species
GUCCAUUUUUAGCGACUUUUUUCAUUUUUCAUAAGUGGGCAAAAAACAGGAAAAAAGUAAGGCUAUACCCUUAACUUUUCGUCCAUUUUUGGCGACUUUUUUCAUUUUUCAUAAGUGGGUAAAAAAACAGCAAAAAAGUAAGGGUAUACCCUUAACUUUUCGUCCAUUUUUAGCGACUUCUUUCAUUUUUCAUUAGUGGGCAAAAAACAGCAAAAAAGUAAGGCUAUACCCUUAACUUUUCGUCCAUUUUUGGCGACUUUUUUCAUUUUUCAUUAGUGGGCAAAAAAACAGCAAAAAAGUAAGGCUAUACUCUUAACUUUUCGUCCAUUUUUGGCGACUUUUUUCAUUUUUCAUAAGUGGGCAAAAAACAGCAAAAAAGUAAGGCUAUAGCCUUCGUCCAUUUUUGGCGACUUUUUCAUUUUUCAUAAGUGGGAAAAAAACAGCAAAAAAGUAAGGCUAUAUAGCCUUUACUUUUCGUCCAUUUUUGGCGACUUUUUUCAUUUUUCAUAAGUGGGAAAAAAACAGCAAAAAAGUAAGGCUAUACCCUUAACUUUUCGUCCAUUUUUGGCGACUUUUUUCAUUUUUCAUAAGUGGGAAAAAAACAGCAAAAAAGUAAGGCUAUACCCUUUACUUUUCGUCCAUUUUUGGCGACUUUUUUCAUUUUUCAUAAGUGGGAAAAAAACAGCAAAAAAGUAAGGCUAUAUAGCCUUCGUCCAUUUUUAGCGACUUUUUUCAUUUUUCAUAAGUGGGCAAAAAACAGCAAAAAAGUAAGGCUAUAUAGCCUUUACUUUUCGUCCAUUUUUGGCGACUUUUUUCAUUUUUCAUAAGUGGGCAAAAAACAGCAAAAAGGUAAGGCUAUACCCUUAACUUUUCGUCCAUUUUUGGCGACUUUUUUCAUUUUUCAUUAGUGGGCAAAAAAACAGCAAAAAAGUAAGGCUAUACUCUUAACUUUUCGUCCAUUUUUGGCGACUUUUUUCAUUUUUCAUAAGUGGGCAAAAAACAGCAAAAAAGUAAGGCUAUACCCUUAACUUUUCGUCCAUUUUUAGCGACUUUUUUCAUUUUUCAUAAGUGGGCAAAAAACAGCAAAAAAGUAAGGGUAUACCCUUAACUUUUCGUCCAUUUUUAGCGACUUUUUUCAUUUUUCAUAAGUGGGCAAAAAACAGCAAAAAAGUAAGGCUAUAUAGCCUUCGUCCAUUUUUAGCGACUUUUUUCAUUUUUCAUAAGUGGGCAAAAAACAGCAAGAAAGUAAGGCUAUACCCUUAACUUUUCGUCCAUUUUUGGCGACUUUUUUCAUUUUUCAUAAGUGGGCAAAAAACAGCAAAAAAGUAAGGCUAUACCCUUAACUUUUCGUCCAUUUUUGGCGACUUUUUUCAUUUUUCGUAAGUGGGCAAAAAACAGCAAAAAAGUAAGGCUAUACUCUUAACUUUUCGUCCAUUUUUGGCGACUUUUUUCAUUUUUCAUAAGUGGGCAAAAAACAGCAAAAAAGUAAGGGUAUACCCUUAACUUUUCGUCCAUUUUUAGCGACUUUUUUCAUAAGUGGGUAAAAAACAGCAGAAAAGUAAGGCUAUUAUACCCUU